rnacentral:rRNA from 1 species
UCGGAGCGCAUUAUCUGCUCUAUUAAUAAUAUCCUUCGCUCGCUUCUUAUCCAAUGCAGUUCUCCGCUCGCCUAUUGGGUUGAAGCUCUUCACACAGCCACGUACCUUCUUAAUUUCCAUCCCACCAAAACCCUGAACUUUGGCAUUUCCCACCAAAUUCUCUUUGGUUCGCCUCCAGAUUAUUCCCACCUUCGUGUUUUUGGUUGUUGAUGUUAUCCUAACCUUUCGGCCACAGCCCCGCAUAAGCUUGCAGCCCGCUCCAAGUCUUGAGUGUUCUUAGGUUAUCCUACAAAUCAUCGUGGCUAUCGUUGUCUCGAUCUAUCCACCAACCGCAUCAUCAUCUCUCGUCAUGUGACCUUUGAUGAGGCUUCCUUUCCAUUCGCUGAAACUCCCACUUCACUAGUCUCUUCGGACUAUGACUUCCUCUCAACGGUAGCACAUAUACCACCACCGCUCCCGGUUGAUAGGACUGCACCUCCAUCUCCACCGGUGCAAAAUCCUCCCACUGUGUCGUGCACUACACCGGCACCCGAGCCGUCUGAUGUUGAGGCGCAAUUCAUACCUCCUACUGCCAUUCCAAUUCCUUCGGUUGUGAACAGCCACACCAUGCGCAUCCGUGGAAAGUCCGGCUUUCGACAACCCGUGGAUCGUCUAAAUUUGCAUGUCAUGGUUCCUUCUCCUAUCCCACGCACAUAUCGUGCAGCCCUCAAUGACGACAAUUGGCGUCUUGCCAUGCAGCAGCAGUUUGAUGCCUUGUGUGCUAAUCAUACUUGGGACCUUGUUCCUCGUCCACCUUGUACUAAUCUUGUUACCGGUAAAUGGAUUUUCCGACACAAGAUUAAGUCUGAUGGCACAUUGGACCGAUACAAGGCACGAUGA